CGAGAUUCCACCGGACGGUAGGAAUUCCGAUACCGGAGUCUAGCCGGGUAUUACAUUCUCCCCCCCUUAAGAACAUUCGUCUCCGAAUGUUCCUCAACUAGCACAUAGCAUGGCAUACACAUAUCAUACAUACAAAGCACAUAAAAUUCACAAGGAACAAACCUCAGAAAAGGUAAGGGUAUUGCUGGAGCAUGGACUCCCGUGUCUCCCAAGUGCAUUCUUCCAUAUUGUGGUGGUUCCAAAGGACUUUCACCAUUGGGAUUU
rnacentral:lncRNA from 1 species